CUCCCGAGUGCUUGCACUCAAUUGGAAAGAGGAGUGGCGGACGGGUGAGUAACACGUGGGUAACCUACCCAUCAGAGGGGGAUAACACUUGGAAACAGGUGCUAAUACCGCAUAACAGUUUAUGCCGCAUGGCAUAAGAGUGAAAGGCGCUUUCGGGUGUCGCUGAUGGAUGGACCCGCGGUGCAUUAGCUAGUUGGUGAGGUAACGGCUCACCAAGGCCACGAUGCAUAGCCGACCUGAGAGGGUGAUCGGCCACACUGGGACUGAGACACGGCCCAGACUCCUACGGGAGGCAGCAGUAGGGAAUCUUCGGCAAUGGACGAAAGUCUGACCGAGCAACGCCGCGUGAGUGAAGAAGGUUUUCGGAUCGUAAAACUCUGUUGUUAGAGAAGAACAAGGACGUUAGUAACUGAACGUCCCCUGACGGUAUCUAACCAGAAAGCCACGGCUAACUACGUGCCAGCAGCCGCGGUAAUACGUAGGUGGCAAGCGUUGUCCGGAUUUAUUGGGCGUAAAGCGAGCGCAGGCGGUUUCUUAAGUCUGAUGUGAAAGCCCCCGGCUCAACCGGGGAGGGUCAUUGGAAACUGGGAGACUUGAGUGCAGAAGAGGAGAGUGGAAUUCCAUGGGUUAA
rnacentral:rRNA from 1 species